rnacentral:rRNA from 1 species
AGAGUUUGAUCAUGGCUCAGAAUCAACGCUGGCGGCGCGCUUAACACAUGCAAGUCGCACGAGAAAGGGAGCAAUCCUAAGUAAAGUGGCGCACGGGUGAGUAACACGUGGAUCAUCUACCUUUUAGUGGGGAAUACCUCUGGGAAACCGGAGACAAUACCGCAUAAGCCCGCAAGGGGAAAGCAGCAAUGCGCUGAAAGAGGAGUCCGCGGCCGAUUAGCUAGUUGGCGGGGUAAUGGCCCACCAAGGCGAAGAUCGGUAGCCGGCCUGAGAGGGCACACGGCCACACUGGCACUGAAACACGGGCCAGACUCCUACGGGAGGCAGCAGUGGGGAAUCUUGCACAAUGGACGAAAGUCUGAUGCAGCGACGCCGCGUGAGCGAUGAAGCCCUUCGGGGUGUAAAGCUCUUUCGACGGGAACGAUAAUGACGGUACCCGGAGAAGAAGCUGCGGCUAACUACGUGCCAGCAGCCGCGGUAAUACGUAGGCAGCGAGCGUUGUUCGGAAUUACUGGGCGUAAAGAGUGUGUAGGCGGUGUUCCCAGUCUGUUGUGAAAUCUCCCGGCUUAACUGGGAGGGUGCAGCGGAAACUAGAAUGCUAGAGGGUGGGAGAGGUAAGCGGAAUUCCUGGUGUAGCGGUGAAAUGCGUAGAUAUCAGGAGGAACACCUGGUGUAGACAGCUUACUGGACCACUUCUGACGCUGAGACACGAAAGCGUGGGUAGCAAACAGGAUUAGAUACCCUAGUAGUCC